AUAAUGUUAUAAAAGUAGUUUGUCACAAUAAUUUUUAACUUUUCCCAAACAUGUUCUUUGUUGACAAAUUUGUUUGGAUUUUUUGUGAAAAUUGUCAGCUAAAAAUUGUUUUUCUUUUGGUAAAAAGCAAAAACUGGAGGCAUCAAAAUAGUUUGCAAGAAUUCAAUAGAAGUGUAGUGGUACUGGAGAAGAUGAAGCUCAUAUAAGGAAAAAGAAAGCUUCUAAAUCAAGGCCACAGGAGGCAAUGACAGAUGGGAUGACCAUCAAUUAAUGAAAUGUGUAAAACGUUUAAAAAUGAUUUGGCGAGAAACCGCGGCUACUAGCAUUUUUUAUGACAACGGAGCCAGAGGAAGAGAAAAACCACGUCUUCUGUUAUUUUUUUCCGCUGUUAAAUAUGUCUCGGUAUGUGCGUUUGAAUUAGGAGAUGACGACAUUCUUCAGCAAUGCAGCUGACCCAAAUCAUUCGCCAUCAGCAUAAAAUACAUUUGUUUUCUAAAAGUUGGAUUUUCCAUAGGGAUUUCUGUUGCAAAAUAUGCAUCGUUUUAAAUGCGUAUUUCUUAAAUCGGAAAAUUCAAGCAUUAAUAAAUAUUACAAAAAUUAUUCAA